CACAGCAGAAAAUUUUUUUUCCUAUGUACUUUCUUAAGCUCUUCUUUCCAACUAAUAAUUUAUUAUACAAUAUGUGUACGCAUACCCAUUAACAGACAAGUAAACCUAUGCAAAUGGACAACUUGCGGCGGAUGAAGAUCGGAUCCAAUGAAAGAUAUGCAGCUAUGUAAAAUGCUCAUAUUUGGUUAGAUCAAAUUUUCAACUUCCCAUAUACGUAGGGCCUCUCAAUGUGGGAUCUUGCUGGAGCAACCAUUCUUUCUCCUUUAGAUACUGCAGAAGAGGCUCAGGCUCAUUCACCGCACCACACCCAUAAGGCCUUGGUCUUUGAUAACCAGGAUAGAGCUUCUCCCUUCUGUAGUCAACAGUACCAUAAACAGAAGGAAAACCUGAGUGUAAUGGUGGCCUCUCCUCAUAAAUCAAUGGAUUAAUAGCAGCCAAAGGGGCUCCAAAUUGAUCAAAAAGACCAGACCUAGACGUAUCAUGACCAUAAAAGUUUCCAGUGUUCACAGCGACGUAUGAAUGCACUGGCCGUGCAUGAUUCGUGGUUCGCUCAAGAUUGUGAUUUUCCCUGUAUUGACGAAGCCAUUC
rnacentral:misc_RNA from 1 species